UCCUCCAGCCCCUCUGUUUGUGUACGCACA
rnacentral:piRNA from 1 species